UGGGGAAUAUUGGACAAUGGGCGAAAGCCUGAUCCAGCAAUGCCGCGUGGGUGAAGAAGGUCUUCGGAUUGUAAAGCCCUUUCGGCGGGGACGAUAAUGACGGUACCCGCAGAAGAAGCCCCGGCUAACUUCGUGCCAGCAGCCGCGGUAAUACGAAGGGGGCUAGCGUUGCUCGGAAUGACUGGGCGUAAAGGGCGCGUAGGCUGUUCACAGAGUUGGGCGUGAAAUUCCUGGGCUUAACCCGGGGGCUGCGUUCAAUACCUGUGGACUGGAGUGAGGAAGAGGGUCGUGGAAUUCCCAGUGUAGAGGUGAAAUUCGUAGAUAUUGGGAAGAACACCGGUGGCGUAGGCGGCGACCUGGUCCUUUACUGACGCUGAGGCGCGAAAGCGUGGGGAGCAAACAG
rnacentral:rRNA from 1 species